rnacentral:lncRNA from 1 species
UAGAGUCAAUUAGGGAAAAUAAAGGAAUAAUUCACAGAGUAAAGGUACAUGUAAUAACAUCUAUGGCACCUUGCUCAUGGGGUUCCCUUAUAGCAUAGACUCAUGCAAGGCCUACUGACUCUUAUUCUUGGGUCGCAACAGUGUGAGCUAAAGUUCGUUGCCCAACUAGCCUUGUGUCACCACCUCUGCCUCUUCCUCGACCAUAGGUACUAGCUUGCAGUUGAAUAGGGGUCGCAAUCUAAACUUG